GCAACUCGACUCCAUGAAGCUGGAUUCGCUAGUAAUCGCGCAUCAGCCAUGGCGCGGUGAAUACGUUCCCGGGCCUUGUACACACCGCCCGUCAAGCCAUGGAAGCCGGGGGGUGCCUGAAGUGCGCUGCCGCAAGGAGCGCCCUAGGGUAAAACCGGUGACUGGGGCUAAGUCGUAACAAGGUAGC
rnacentral:rRNA from 1 species